rnacentral:rRNA from 1 species
CCCUUAGAUGUUCUGGGCCGCACGCGCGCUACACUGAUGCAUUCAACGAGCCUAUCCUUGACCGACAGGUCCGGGUAAUCUUUGAAUCUGCAUCGUGACGGGGAUAGAUUAUUGCAAUUAUUAAUCUUCAACGAGGAAUGCCUAGUAGGCGCAAGUCAUCAGCUUGCGACGAUUACGUCCCUGCCCUUUGUACACACCGCCCGUCGCUCCUACCGAUUGGGUGUGCUGGUGAAAUGUUCGGAUCGGCCGUUUGUCGCGGUUUCCGCGUCAUGUGGCUGAGAAGUUCAUUAAACCCUCCCACCUAGAGGAAGGAGAAGUCGUAACA